UGGGGAAUUUUGGACAAUGGGGGCAACCCUGAUCCAGCAAUGCCGCGUGUGUGAAGAAGGCCUUCGGGUUGUAAAGCACUUUUGUCCGGAAAGAAAACGUCGUGGUUAAUACCCGUGGCGGCUGACGGUACCGGAAGAAUAAGCACCGGCUAACUACGUGCCAGCAGCCGCGGUAAUACGUAGGGUGCAAGCGUUAAUCGGAAUUACUGGGCGUAAAGCGUGCGCAGGCGGUCCGCUAAGACAGAUGUGAAAUCCCCGGGCUUAACCUGGGAACUGCAUUUGUGACUGGCGGGCUAGAGUAUGGCAGAGGGGGGUAGAAUUCCACGUGUAGCAGUGAAAUGCGUAGAGAUGUGGAGGAAUACCGAUGGCGAAGGCAGCCCCCUGGGCCAAUACUGACGCUCAUGCACGAAAGCGUGGGGAGCAAACAGGAUUAGAUACCCUGGUAGUCCACGCCCUAAACGAUGUCAACUAGUUGUCGGGUCUUCAUUGACUUGGUAACGUAGCUAACGCGUGAAGUUGACCGCCUGGGGAGUACGGUCGCAAGAUU
rnacentral:rRNA from 1 species